UCAAGCGUUUAAGGGCGUGUGGCGGAUGCCUUGGCACUGAAAGCCGAUGAAGGACGUGGUAUACUGCGAUAAGUUUCGGGGAGCUGUAUGCAGGCUUUGAUCCGAAAAUUUCCGAAUGGGGAAACCCAACACUUCGUGUGUUACUUUAUACUGAAUUCAUAGGUAUAAAGAGUGAACCUGGAGAACUGAAACAUCUAAGUAACCAGAGGAAAAGAAAUCAAUUGAGAUUCCGUUAGUAGUGGCGAGCGAAACCGGAAUAGGCCUGUAGUUUUGUUAAAAAAAUUCGAAUAGUUUGGAAAAACUAACCAAAGAGGGUGAUAGUCCCGUAAAAGUAAUGUUUAAUAAAAUUCUUGAGUAAAGCGGGACACGUGAAAUCUUGCUCGAAUAUAGGGGGACCACCCUCUAAGCCUAAAUACUCUUCAGUGACCGAUAGUGAACAAGUACCGUGAGGGAAAGGUGAAAAGAACCCCUAUUAGGGGAGUGAAAUAGAACCUGAAACCGCAUGCCUACAAUCAGUCGAAGCUCUUUUUAGAGUGACGGCGUACCUUUUGUAUAAUGGGUCAGUGACUUAAUUUAUUAAGCAAGCUUAAGCCAUCUAGGUGUAGGCGCAGCGAAAGCAAGUCUUAAUAGGGCGAUUAGUUUAAUGAAUUAGACCCGAAAACGAAUGAGCUUACCAUGAGCAGGUUGAAAGCAAGGUAACACUUGCCGGAGGACCGAACCAGUUGACGUUGAAAAGUCUUUGGAUGACUUGUGGUAAGGGGUGAAAGGCCAACCAAAUUCGUAGAUAGCUGGUUUUCCGCGAAAACUAUUUAGGUAGUGCGUUGAAUAAACAGACUUUUGGAGGUAGAGCACUAAAUGGGCUAGGGGAGAGAAAUCUUUACCAAACCUAAUAAAACUCCGAAUGCCAAAAGUCAUUCCUCAACAGACAGACUGUGGGUGCUAAGGUCCAUGGUCGAGAGGGGAACAGCCCAGAUCACCAGAUAAGGUCCCUAAAUCAUGAUUAAGUGUGAAAGGAUGUGGAGAUUCCUUAACAGCCGGGAGGUUGGCUUAGAAGCAGCCAUCCUUUAAAGAUAGCGUAACAGCUCACCGGUCUAAUAGAGUUUCUGCGCCUAAGAUGUAACGGGGCUCAAAUCAUGUACCGAAUCUGUGGGUGUAUAAAGUUUUCGAAUUUUAUACGCGGUAGCGGAACGUUCUGUAAGCCUGCGAAGGGAUACCUGUGAGGGAUCCUGGAGGUAUCAGAAGUGCGAAUGCUGACAUAAGUAACGAUUAACAGAGUGAAAAACUCUGUCGCCGAAAAUCCAAGGGUUCCUGCGCAAGGUUAAUCCGCGCAGGGUUAGUCGGCCCCUAAGACGAGGGCGAAAGCCGUAGUCGAUGGGAACUAGGUUAAUAUUCCUAGACCAGAUGGUAGUGACGGAUUUCAUAAGUUGUUAACUCUUAAUGGAUUGAGUUAGCCGUGAAGAAGUCCCAGGAAAUAGCUCCAUCAUUAGACCGUACCCUAAACCGACACAGGUGGAUUAAUAGAGUAUAUUUAGGCGCUUGAGAGAAUGAUGUUGAAGGAACUCGGCAAAAUGCUUCUGUAACUUCGGGAUAAAGAAGACCUUUUUGUAGGCAACUAUAGAAAGGUGGCACAAGCCAGGGAGAAGCGACUGUUUAUCAAAAACACAGGACUCUGCUAACACGUAAGUGGAUGUAUAGGGUCUGACGCCUGCCCGGUGCUGGAAGGUUAAUGCGGUUGGUGCAAGCUAACUUCUGAAGCCCCAGUAAACGGCGGCCGUAACUAUAACGGUCCUAAGGUAGCGAAAUUCCUUGUCGGG
rnacentral:rRNA from 1 species